GUGGGGAUUAGUGGCGAACGGGUGAGUAACACGUGGGCAAUCUGCCCUUCACUCUGGGACAAGCCCUGGAAACGGGGUCUAAUACCGGAUACCACUUCCACUCGCAUGGGUGGGGGUUGAAAGCUCCUGCGGUGAAGGAUGAGCCCGCGGCCUAUCAGCUUGUUGGUGAGGUAACGGCUCACCAAGGCGACGACGGGUAGCCGGCCUGAGAGGGCGACCGGCCACACUGGGACUGAGACACGGCCCAGACUCCUACGGGAGGCAGCAGUGGGGAAUAUUGCACAAUGGGCGAAAGCCUGAUGCAGCGACGCCGCGUGAGGGAUGACGGCCUUCGGGUUGUAAACCUCUUUCAGCAGGGAAGAAGCGAAAGUGACGGUACCUGCAGAAGAAGCGCCGGCUAACUACGUGCCAGCAGCCGCGGUAAUACGUAGGGCGCAAGCGUUGUCCGGAAUUAUUGGGCGUAAAGAGCUCGUAGGCGGUCUGUCGCGUCGGAUGUGAAAGCCCGGGGCUUAACCCCGGGUCUGCAUUCGAUACGGGCAGACUAGAGUGUGGUAGGGGAGAUCGGAAUUCCUGGUGUAGCGGUGAAAUGCGCAGAUAUCAGGAGGA
rnacentral:rRNA from 1 species